rnacentral:rRNA from 1 species
CCUACGGGUGGCAGCAGUGGGGGAUAUUGCACAAUGGGGGGAACCCUGAUGCAGCGACGCCGCGUGGGUGAAGAAGCGCCUCGGCGCGUAAAGCCCUGUCAGCAGGGAAGAAAAUGACGGUCCCUGAAGAAGAAGCCCCGGCUAACUACGUGCCAGCAGCCGCGGUAAUACGUAGGGGGCACGCGUUAUCUGGAUUUACUGGGUGUAAAGGGGGCGCAGUCGGCGAUGCAAGCCAGGAGUGAAAGCCCGGGGGCCAACCCCGGGACUGCGCUUGGAACUGCGUGGCUGGAGUGCAGGAGGGGCAGGCGGAAUGCGUGGUGUAGCGGUGAAAUGCGUAGAUAUCAGGAGGAACACCGGUGGCGAAGGCGGCCUGCUGGACUGCAACUGACGUUGAGGCCCGAAAGCGUGGGGAGCAAACAGGAUUAGAUACCCCUGUAGUC